rnacentral:lncRNA from 1 species
UACUGAACUCUUUGUGUUUUGCGCUAGUCAGGUUGAUGACAAUAUUCCUUUCAUGAACGCUCCUUCACCUUGCGGGCUUCCACAGAAAUGAUUUGCCAAUACUUGAGCUUAGGAGCAGGCAAAUGGUAGACGGCCCUGACUUUGACAGCCUCGAUGCAGUGGGAUAGCGUACAAGAGUUUAUUAAGACAAAAGCCUUAUAUGUCUCAUGAUGAGGUCUCCGUUUCAAGGCAGUUUCAAAACCAUGUCAUCGACACGAAAUGGUCCUCUUAGGAUAAGAGGCGA